rnacentral:lncRNA from 1 species
UUGAGGCGACGGCGCUGCUUCAGGCCUCGCUGCCGGACGCUGGGCAGCACCUUAACCAGUAAGGAGGUGUUCACCUGGGCCAAUAGUAACAACCAGCGACUACUCCACGUUGGCGACAUUGAUAGAACAAGCAAGUCCUAUAUCUGCACAUCGUGCUCCAUGUGGAUGGCCGCAGAGGAUAGGAUGAUGGAUGGCUACUACUACGCAACGUCGAGCUCAUCUCUAGACCACACCGCUACAUCCUUCCAUGAUUCCAUCGUCGACUAA